rnacentral:tRNA from 1 species
CGCGGGGUGGAGCAGCCCGGUAGCUCGCUGGCCUCAUAAGCCAGAGGUCGCGGGUUCAAAUCCCGCCCCCGCAA